GUGCCAGCAGCCGCGGUAAUACGUAGGGCGCAAGCGUUGUCCGGAAUUAUUGGGCGUAAAGAGCUCGUAGGCGGCCAGUCACGUCGGAUGUGAAAGCCCGAGGCUUAACCUCGGGUCUGCAUUCGAUACGGGCUGGCUAGAGUGUGGUAGGGGAGAUCGGAAUUCCUGGUGUAGCGGUGAAAUGCGCAGAUAUCAGGAGGAACACCGGUGGCGAAGGCGGAUCUCUGGGCCAUUACUGACGCUGAGGAGCGAAAGCGUGGGGAGCGAACAGGAUUAGAAACCCUCGUAGUCC
rnacentral:rRNA from 1 species